rnacentral:misc_RNA from 1 species
AAGGAUUUGAAUCUUAUAUGUAUAAGAAGUAUCUGAGGACAUUUUGUUGCAUUUUGUCCCAUUAUGGUGCAGUGACAUUUUGUCCCAUUAGGGUGAGUGACAUUUUGUCCCAUCAAGGUGUAGUGACAUUAUUUCCCUUCAAGGUGUAGUGACAAGUUGUCCCAUUAGGGUGCAGUGACAUUUUGUCCCAUUAAGGUGUAGUGACAUUUUGUCCCAUUAGUGUGCAGUGACAUUUUGUCCCAUCAAGGUAUAGUGACAUUUUGUCCCAUCAAGGUGUAGUGACAUUAUGUCCCCUCAAGGUAUAGUGACAUUUUGUCUCAUCAAGGUGUAGUGACAUUUUGUCCCCUCAAGGUGUAGUGACAUUUUGUCCCCUAUGCUACACUGGCAUUAUGUCCCAUCAAGGUGUAGUGACAUUUUGUCCCAUCAAGUUGUAAUGACAUUAUGUCCCAUCAAGGUGUAGUGACAUUUUGUCCCUCCAACGUGUAGUGACAUUAUUUCCCCUCUACCCCAACUGGCAUUAUUUCCCCUGUGCUACACUGGCAUUAUUUCCCCACAACCCCAACUGGCAUUAUGUCCUUUCAAUUACUUUAGAAAGAAGAAAUUUGAGUGAAA